ACCGCGGGGGUCAAGGGGCGGGCGAUGACGUCACCGGAGGGGCGGGCCUGCGGAGCUUGCGGCUGGCCGCGCCUUCCCGUCAGCCCCCGGGGCGUCCUGACUUCCGGUCUGGGUGUGGCCGCGGGGCGCGCUGGGCUGCAGGUGGCUGCAGUGGGUGGCGAUGUUGCGAUACGGAUUCCGCAGACGUUGGUGGGACCGAAACAGUCAAGUGACGCUGCACCGCUGGCUCCCCAGCCAAGCACUGAGGAUUCCGGGGACUCUGAAAUGAUGGGGCUGCCUAUCCGGAUUCUCGAGUUUUGUUGCGAGAAAUGGAACCCCCCCGCCUCCCAAUUUUAUAAAUAACCAAAGAUUAAUAAUAGGUAGCUCCAGAUGUCCAGCCUGGGAUUCAAUUUUAAGACGUUAUACGUUUGACAGAUCAUUUUGAGCGUAUAGUACAUGCCAGGCACUGCCACAGGUUUAGUAGAAUCAUGUGACUUUUGGAUCUAUAAAUAACAUUACGGUAUGUCAUCCAGUUUGCCCCCUUCACCUUCUGGGUGAAGUUAGGAAUGUAGGUGACUCGGUCAAGGUCAAAGAGCUGGUCACACACGUCUAAGAACCGUUCAUCUAAUUCUCUUUCCAUUGACUCCCCUUCCACCUUUCUUGGAAAACAAGGAUGAGUGGGACACAAUAACAUUAGGGUUUGUCUUCCAUUCUAAGAAACAUCUGCAGGAUUUUUAAAAUUGGCAUAUAGUGUCUUUAUAUAUAUUACGUCAUCUCUUGCAAUGUGUGAUAUUUUUACUUAAUUAGAACUUUUUCCUGUCUAGUGGGGAGUGAGGGUCCAGACAAAACCGCAUUACUCUUUAUGCCUCUCCGUUCUCUUUUCAAAAUUGUACAUCUCCAAUUACCUGAAAACAUGCUGCUCAACUAUGGCAUCAUUCAGGUUUCUCAGUCCAGUUAUGUACCUUUCAACAGAACAACUGAAAUCAAAUUUGUCUAUGUCCCAUUUUAUCAAGGUUCUGCUCUAGCACUAGGUUUAUCUCUCUGGCUUUUUAUUCUAAAGUAAAUUAUAAAUAUAUUUGGCCCACUCCACAGAUAAUGCCAAUUUCUGUAUUUCCUUCUAAUUUCCCUUUUUUUCUUUCUAAAAAUUGAAUGCCCAUUAAACUUUAGGACCUAAUAAUUAGACAAUGAUAAGGUGAUAGAGAUACAGUGAUCCCUGAAUUCAACAAUCUCAUUGUGAAAAGCCAAAAAAAUGGAAAAUAAAUGAAAAAAUAAUUUCAGAAAAGUAAACAUAAUGAAGAAAAAAAUGUGAGGAGUGAGAAAGAGACUUGGAGGGGAGGAGGAAGACAAUUUUAGAUAGUCAUAGAGGGUCUAUUUGAGAAAGUGAAAUUUGAACCCAAAUCUAAUGUAUGUGAGCCCUGCCAGAUAUUCUAGCAGAAGAAUAUUCUAGACAGAGGGAAAUGCAAGCAUAAACUUUUUAUUUUAUUUUAUUUAUUUUUAGCAUUUAUCACUUUCUGGUGUAUAUGUAUUUGUUUACUUAUAUAUUGCCUGUCUACCUUUAAAAAGGGGCUGAGCUUUUCCUGAAGAAAGAGAUUCAAAGUGUGAGGGGCAACUUGAUGUGAGAGAGAUUCUACUUUGCUGGCUUUGAAGAGGAAAGGGGCCACCUAGAAACAAAUGGGAAUGGCCUCUAAUUCCUGAGAGUGGCUUCCAACUAACAGCCAAGAAGAAAAUGGGGAUAACGGCCUAUUUCAUUGCAAGGAACGAAAUUUGGUCAAUAACCUAUGUGAGCUUGGAAGAAAACCCCUAAGCUUCAGACCAAAACACAGCUGAUACCUUGAUUUCAACCUUGGAAGACUUCGGGCAGAGAACCCAGCUAUGCUGUGCCCCCAGUUUUGACCUGCAGAGCUCUGAACUAAUAAAUUUAUGGUUUAUGGUUUUUGUAUUUAGAAACAUAAUAUAGUAUAUUUCACCUAACACCCACAUUUCUUGACAUGUUAACAUCCCUGAAAUUAGAAUGUGUUUUUUUCUUUUUUAAAAAUACAGAAAACAAUGGUGCUCUUAUAAUUGAAGUCAUCUUUGAUUUGGUGAAAUAUAGUGUAAAUUAUUUCAAACAUACAGUAUACCAGAUACCCAGAUUUAAUAGAUUUUAAUGUUUUGUCACAUUAAAUGUGACAUCAAAAUGGAAAAGAAAAUUGAAAUAUUAUCAGACUUUGACAAUGAAUCUUUUUUGCCAGAAGAAAAUAAAAUGACAUUUAGGAUAUUCAAGGGGAAAAAGUGUGGUCAAGGACUUAAUAUCCAGCAAAACCAACCCUCAUGUACAAAGGGUAUAAGCUAUUAUCAACACUUGAUAUGACAUCAACAUUUAAUGAGACCAUUGUUCCUAUGAGUCCUUCCUAAAGAAUUAGUGGAGAAAGCGUCAGACAACCAAAAUGACUGGAGAAGCAUCGACCGAAGUUUUGGUGCAGAGUUUUACAGAAAAAAAAUCAAUCUUUUGUGCUUAUUAGCUUUGUGUUCCUUUUAGUUUAUUCUGUGUAACUAAUUUUCCUGAUUUUCUGUCACCUCAUUUUUGAGUCUUUCUAACCCCUCUCCCAGUUUUCUUAAGGUGUAAUUGACAAAACAAAGAUAUUUAAAGUGUACAAUGUGAUGAUUUGAUAUAUGUAUACACUGUUAAAGGAUCUUCUCAUUGAGUUAAUUAACUGAGAUUUUCUAAUUCUAAAUAUAUAUUUUUUUAAUAUUUUGUAUGAUUUUCUUAAUCUUAUUUAGGUGGUUUCAAAGCAGUAACUUAAGGUUUGAUCUAUUUGGUGGUACAUCUUUCAGGCAUGCUUGCAUUACCUGUAAUGAUGAUGUUAUGCUCCUUAUUCUUGUUUUUCUUAUAAUAACUUUGCAUGGGACUUUUUUUGUUGCUCAUUUUUAUGUGAAAUUAAAAUGAAUUUCCUGAACUUUUAGCGUGAGGCAGACUUCCUAGUCCAAUAAGCUUAGGCCUUUGGGGAAUAAAACUACUGGUAUAUUUCAAGAAAGUCAGGUUUCUGGCCCAUUACAAGGAGGAAGCCCAUAUUCCAGAAGAACCAUGAAGUGCCUUAUCAAACAUAGGGAAAGAUAAGUUUAUUAUAGGAAUUUUGGGUAGUGUUGAGUUUAGGAGAAAUUGAGGUGAAGUUUGAAAAUGUUUCGAUAGGUUCAAAAGAAAGCAAGGCUGUAUGUAAAGGGGUCUACAUUAUGUCUGGACUGCAACAUGGACCCAGGGUGCUGUUUUAUUGAAAACUAAAAAGUUUAAAUAGGACUACUCCCUAAAUCAUUAAGCCCUCAGGACAAUGAGGUUCUGACCAGCAUCAAGUAAUCUUAGGAACAAAGCCUCAGGUCUGUUGAACUCAGAGAUGGAUUUUGGUCAAAAUAGAGAUAACAUGUAGGCCUCAGCUGUGUUUCGGCUCCAGAACAAUCCCACUGACCACAUCCGAGAGAAAACAGAUAAAGCAAUGCUAUGACUGACAUUAGGACUAGAUGCACUGAUCAAAUACCCCCUACCCUAGCAAUGACCAAUCAGUGGAAACAUGACCCUAACUCUCCUAGUCACCAAAAUUAAUGACUUAUCAUCUGUAUAACCCAUUCCGUGAUGCCAUCGGAGAGCCAGGUCUUUGAGAAUUAGCUGACCUGUGACUCUGGACAUGGGCCACUUAAAAUAAACCCUUACUUUCUUUGCUACAAA